GCAGACCGAGUGUAUGAUUCAAAAAAAUGUUGCUAUAAAUGUAAUCCUAGUUGCAGAUCUUCACUCGUCAAUGUGACUGUUAAGUACAAUGGUUGCAAGAAAAGAAUUGAGAUGGCAAGAUGCGUAGGGGAAUGCAAACAGACCAUCAGGUACAAUUAUGACAUCUUUCAGUUGGAAAAUUCCUGCCUUUGCUGCCAAGAAGAAAACUACGAGUUCAGAGACAUCAUUCUUGACUGUCCUGGUGGCGGUACCUUGCCUUACAGAUACAGGCACAUCACAGAGUGUUCUUGCUCAAAAAAGUGCCAUCAAUCUGCAUCCUCAGCGAGCAAGUAAUGUUAACAUUACUUUCCAAGUUGUAACAGGCCAGUGUUUAUUUUACAAGUGUACAAAUAUCAGCACUCAGUUGAGAGAAUAAUGAAACAUUUGUAUCUCAAUCCAAAAGUGAAUUGUCAUUAUGAGGCACUUUAUUUUUUGUUGCUGGGAUCUGUAAAAAUAAAUACAAUUUUGC